GCACUUCUGACGAGUCCCAAACAGUACGAAACAGUUGUCCAGUGC
rfam:Echinostoma caproni strain Egypt genome assembly, scaffold: ECPE_scaffold0001929